GAAAUGCGAUAAGUAGUGUGAAUUGCAGAAUUCAGUGAAUCAUCGAAUCUUUGAACGCACAUUGCGCCCCUUGGUAUUCCAUGGGGCAUGCCUGUUCGAGCGUCAUUUGUACCCUCAAGCUCUGCUUGGUGUUGGGUGUUUGUCCCGUCUCCGCGCGUGGACUCGCCCCAAAGUGAUUGGCAGCCGGCGUACUGGUUCCGGAGCGCAGCACAUGUCGCGCAAACGAGUGCCUUGGUACGGCGGCGUCCAUAAGCCCCUCUCUCACGCUCUUGACCUCGGAUCAGGUAGGGAUACCCGCUGAACUUAAGC
rnacentral:misc_RNA from 1 species